rnacentral:sRNA from 1 species
UUGGCAGUGGUGGAGACCAAAUUCCUUCAUUUAUCCAUAGAACAGGUGCAGCAUGGGCAGCGCAAGGCAAGUCUCCCCCUCAAUAUCCCAGUACCCUUGUACCUCAUCCCAGCCCUGGAGGGACUCUACAUGUAGGAGUGGGAAUGGGGGUAGAACUCAGUCUCCAUGGCCCAUUCAGUUCCAGGCCUCU